rnacentral:misc_RNA from 1 species
CCACUGUCAAAGGGCGUGUUUUCCGAGAGGUCUCGCGCCCGGCCAUUGAGAAAUGGUUUACCCUUGCUUAUCGAAGUACCGUUACGUUUCCUCGGCGAGCUCGCUCGCCAAUGGGGACUCCAAACCAAACUCUUUGCAGUAGCAAUUCUAGUCUGAAACAAAACAAAUCAAUUA